rnacentral:rRNA from 1 species
ACGUAGGUGGCAAGCGUUGUCCGGAAUUAUUGGGCGUAAAGCGCGCGCAGGCGGUUCCUUAAGUCUGAUGUGAAAGCCCCCGGCUCAACCGGGGAGGGUCAUUGGAAACUGGGGAACUUGAGUGCAGAAGAGGAGAGCGGAAUUCCACGUGUAGCGGUGAAAUGCGUAGAGAUGUGGAGGAACACCAGUGGCGAAGGCGGCUCUCUGGUCUGUAACUGACGCUGAGGCGCGAAAGCGUGGGGAGCGAACAG